CAUACGCUCUGAGGAGGAAAGCAGGGGGACCUCCGGGCCUUGCGUUAUUCGAGCGGCCAAUAUCUGAUUAGCUAGUUGGUGGGGUAAAGGCCUACCAAGGCGACGAUCAGUAGCGGGUCUGAGAGGAUGAUCCGCCACACUGGGACUGAGACACGGCCCAGACUCCUACGGGAGGCAGCAGUGGGGAAUUUUGGACAAUGGGCGCAAGCCUGAUCCAGCCAUGCCGCGUGUCUGAAGAAGGGCUUCGGGUUGUAAAGGACUUUUGUUAGGGAAGAAAAAGGAGCGGUUAAUACCCGUUUCUGCUGAC
rnacentral:rRNA from 1 species